rnacentral:rRNA from 1 species
GACGAACGCUGGCGGCGUGCUUAACACAUGCAAGUCGUACGGUAAGGCCCUUUCGGGGGUACACGAGUGGCGAACGGGUGAGUAACACGUGAGUAACCUGCCCACAACUUUGGGAUAACGCUAGGAAACUGGUGCUAAUACUGGAUAUGUUCUCCUGCUGCAUGGUGGGGGUUGGAAAGCUCCGGCGGUUGUGGAUGGACUCGCGGCCUAUCAGCUUGUUGGUGGGGUAGUGGCCUACCAAGGCGGCGACGGGUAGCCGGCCUGAGAGGGUGACCGGCCACAUUGGGACUGAGAUACGGCCCAGACUCCUACGGGAGGCAGCAGUGGGGAAUAUUGCACAAUGGGCGCAAGCCUGAUGCAGCAACGCCGCGUGCGGGAUGACGGCCUUCGGGUUGUAAACCGCUUUCAGCAGGGACGAAGCUUUUUGUGACGGUACCUGAAGAAGAAGCACCGGCUAACUACGU